rnacentral:rRNA from 1 species
AUGGGGAGUGGAAGAACCACCACGGAUUCAUGCGUGCAGUGGUUGUUUGGAGAGAAUUUUUCAAGCCUCGAGGAUCUUGCUUCUGCAGCUCUUGCUUCACCUAAUGUAUCCACAGAGGAGGAAGCUGUGAACACCAUCAACGAUGUUCUAUCUAAGUUGGAUUUUUCAGAAAACCCCACUGCUGCUGAGCAGGGGGCUCCAACUCUUGUGCUUGCCACUGCCACGCCUACACCUUCUCCGCUUGGUGCUGGUGCAUCUGGUAAGGGGAAGAAAUGCAGCGUCAAGCGCAAGGUUGCACCUGCAAAGGUCAACAAGGGUGAGAAGAAGCAUUCUCGUGUUAAUACAGAGGCCAAGGAUGAUGCUGAUUUCAAUGCUGAUGACGAGGACGACGAUGAUGAUGAUGCGGCUGAUCAAGUUGAUUCCAACGUUUCUCGUCCUUUGAUGGGCAACAUCUACAAAAGGAUCGACCCUACAACCAUGAUUCUGGACAUGGGUGAGGCGAACAAGGUUCUGCGUAUUACAACUGAUGCUAUUCACCAUCUGUUUGGAUUCCCUCAAGGUAGUCGUACCCCUCCUCGGCCCUUGAAUGAUGGGUUUGAUGAUGCUGUUAUGAGGUUGAAGGGCAAGCUUGGGGAGGCAGCAAUGGCUGAGAAUCUUGUGUUUGAGGAUAUGGCAGAUAUGGACUACUGCCAGUUGGUUGUUGACGAUAUUCGGAGUGCUGUUGUUAGGUAUCAACAAGGUACUAGCAGAGGAAAAGUUGUCACAGGUUGUGCCAUCGCGCCGCUUCUUAUGUAUCUGGACUGCCUUAUCAUUGGCAAGACGCCUAAUAUUGACUUGAGGACCCCUCGCAUCAAUUUCAUGGAUCAGGUCAAGCUUCUUGAGCUUGCUAUGGCUAACUUGGUUAAGAAGGGUGAUGCUGACCCAGCCAACUGGGUGUUUGGGAGACUGCCUGCUGUUGAUGAUGGUGCUAGGGUUGAGGAGGAUGUUUUACCUGUGUUACCUGUGCAUGAAGCUGCCCCGGUGGAUGAACCUGCUCCCGCUAGUGAUGUAUUAGUUGAUGAGGUUCAUGGCAUUAAAAAUGAGAAUGAUGAUGCUAGUGUUACUCCAGAGAAUGUUGCAAACAAGUCCGUGUUAGGUACCGGCUGCUCCGACGAGGUGGACCCGACUGAACCUCGGUCGUCCAUUGGCGCUGAGGUUUCUGGUGCUGAGCAGGGCAAGACAGCUGAGGUUAAUGAUGCUGAGCAGGGCAAGAUAGCUAGAGAUAUCAUUUUGGAGAAAUAUCCCAUCGAGGCUGCUGUUGAGACUGGUGGUAGUGCUGCUGCAAGCCCGGAGAAGUCUCCUGUAGCAGAGCCAUCAGUUGAUGUUGAUACUAUUCAAACACAGCCAACAAUUUUUGUUGUUUCAGAUUCUCCAGCUGCUCCAGCUACUGCCAGUGACCUUCCCGACACGCUGCAAUGUCUACUAGAGAUGACGAUGAAUAGACUGAAAGCGAUAGCUAUGGAGAGGAGAUCAACGAUUAUGUUCCAAAACAAUGAGUGUGAAGCUUCUGUUGAGGAUGUCACAAUAUCUUUUGCUCCUCGUGGAAUGCUUCGAUCUAAUGUGGCUGAGGUUGCACUCUACUGUCUACGUGCGAAGUACCAGGGAUCGGAUAAACUCAUCCUGCCGUAUUGGGUUUGUGACAAGAUUUUUAGAGAUAUCAGGAAGACGUUGAUGUACUCAAUCGCUUGUUCCAACCUGUUUGAGACAGACUUCCAAGCUUUGUUUGGCUACUACACAUUGGAGCCAUUGGACUUGACCUAUUACCACUACUUAUUCCUCGGGUCACAGGAAUACCAGCCUAGGGAGGAAUCGACGAGUACAGCUCCGAUAGAAGAUGAUAGACCUCGAACCCUUAUUCCUUCCAAGGUGGGGAAGCAGGCUAGUGGUAUUCGUGGUACUCCAAAAACCCCUUGCUCUAGGAAGGUUGGUGUAAUCGAAGCAGCCGAAGCAGAAGUGAUUUCGUCUGAUGAUGAUUUUGAGAAGAUUUCUCACCCGAAGAACGGUAAAUCUGCUGCUGGUACUGUUGCUGGGAGAGGUGGGAAGAAUGUUGUCAUCACUAGGAGGAAACCGGCAGUUGAGUCUGGCAACAUAACUUCCUCCAAGAGAGCAUCAAGAUUGCCUUUGAACACAAGCUACUGCAUGUUUACCAUCCGUGGGAAUGUGAUUGACCUCAUAGGACAAGUCCUUUAUACCCUUUUUGGUGAAGGGCAGCAGAUGGAAGGAGACGUAAUGGAUUAUCUCAUUAAUUUGUGGAAGGAUAAGACAGAGACCUCUAAGAUAUUCUCUUCUGCUGACAGGGUUGUACUUAGUCCCUACUUCAUACAGAUCAAGAGAUUUGUUGGGUUGCUCGAGGAGGUGUACGGCAAGGCUAUGUACAAAGCGAGCAAGCAGCCUAACUACGUGACUAUUGCAAAGAGGUUGACUUUUAUCGAUGUUCCAAAGCAGAAGAAUAAUGAUUGUGGUUUCUUUGCCAUGAAGUUCUGCUCUUCAUAUGAUGGCGAUGAGCUUGUUGAAGAUUUUGGUGAUGUGGAAUUAUCCGUUACUACACCAUCGUUUCAUUUUCUUUGUUUGCAAGCUGCUGCAGAUGACUGGAAGGCUGAGUUCAUGCACACUCUAAUGUUUAGCGAGAAGAAUGAAGUCAUGCGUGCAGAGCUCCCUAAAGAGAUCCAGUCCUUUGGCCCGUGA